UCGGCAUCAUCUCCAUUUCCGACGUGCCGGAUUUCCCAGCUCUGAGGAGAACGCUCCUGCGCUUGGCGCCGAGAGUUGCAAACCUUCCUGAAGAUGUGAAGAAAGAGC